ACAGCUGGUCCAUUGCUUUGCUGGCUUCAAACUCUCGCCAUUGUUGGUUUUAUAAUGGAGGGGUUUCUCUUGUUAUUAUAGAUUAACUUGGUCCAAUGAAAAUAAACACUAAUUGAUCGCUCCUUUUCACUCUUUUCUAGUUUUUCUUUUUCGAUAAUGAUCUUCAUCCUUCCACAAAAGUGAAAGAGAAAAAACAAACAAACAAAAAAGAUAAUCAAUUCAAUAACCCCACUUUAGUUUUCCUAUUGAUUUGAUGGAUCCACAGAUCUAAUACUCUUUCACUUUCAGAUCUUCCAUUUUCCACUGUAAAGAUUUGUAGAACGCAUAUUAUACUUGCUUUGAGGAGUAACAAUAUGCAAAGUUGAGUUUUAUUAGUGUGUCCUGUUAGGUGUGGAGAGUUUAGAUGGUGUAUUGGAGGAGAUGAGGUAUGUUAUCUGGAUUAAUGAACUUCUUGAGGGCUUGUUUUCAGCCAAGGGCCAAUCGGCACGUUCAUACAGGUUCGGAUGCCAAUGGACGUCAAGAUGGGCUGUUAUGGUAUAAGGAUAUUGGACAACAUUUUAAUGGAGAGUUCUCAAUGGCUGUAGUUCAGGCUAAUAAUUUAUUGGAAGAUCAGAGCCAAGUUGAAUCAGGCUGUCUGGGGUUGAAUGAUUCAGGUCCAUAUGGUACCUUUGUUGGAAUUUAUGAUGGCCAUGGUGGCCCUGAGACUUCAAGGUUCAUCAAUGAGCACCUCUUUCAGCAUCUCAAGAGGUUUACAUCUGAGCAGCAAUCUAUGUCUGCGGAGGUGAUCCGGAAGGCAUUUCAAGCAACAGAAGAGGGUUUCCUUUCGGUUGUCACUAGGCAAUGGCCCAUAAGACCUCAGAUUGCUGCUGUUGGAUCAUGCUGCCUUGUUGGAGUUAUCUCCAGUGGGACAUUAUAUAUUGCCAAUCUUGGCGACUCUCGAGCAGUCUUGGGGAGACUUGUCAAGGCAACAGGAGAGAUUCUUGCUAUUCAGCUUUCUGCAGAACACAAUGCAAGUAUUGAAUCUGUAAGGCAGGAAAUGCAGUCUUUGCAUCCAGAUGACUCGCAAAUUGUAGUUUUAAAGCACAAUGUUUGGCGCGUGAAGGGCCUUAUACAGAUCUCAAGAUCCAUUGGUGAUGUGUACUUAAAGAAAGCUGAAUUCAACAGAGAACCGUUAUAUGCUAAGUUUCGUCUCCGUGAACCAUUUCUAAGGCCCAUAUUGAGUUCAGAUCCAGCUAUUUUGGUGCACCCGGUGCAACCUCAGGAUCAGUUUAUUAUAUUUGCCUCUGAUGGACUCUGGGAGCACCUAAGUAACCAAGAAGCUGUUGACAUUGUACAAAAUCACCUACGCAAUGGGAUCGCCAAAAGGCUAGUGAAAACUGCAUUGCAAGAAGCAGCAAAGAAAAGGGAGAUGAGGUACUCAGACUUGAAGAAAAUUGAUCGUGGAGUGCGUCGGCAUUUCCAUGAUGACAUCUCUGUUGUGGUAGUAUUCCUCGACUCAGAUCUCGUGAGCAGGGCUAGCUCUAUGAAGGGGCCUAACCUGUCUGUGAAAGGUGGCGGCAUAAGUCUGCCUCGAAACACACUUGCUCCUUUCACCACCUCAACCUAAUUGUGGUGCUACUCGAUUGAUGAAGCUCUUCCAAAUGAUGUACCAUUUUCUUGUGAAUACCAGGGGAUUGUGGGUGCAGUAGAAUGCCAUUCCAUUGUAGAUUUAUGCAUUAAUCAUGGUGAAGCCAUCCAGGCCAGCUUCUAAUUCAAAUAAAACAUCUUGAUUAGUUACUUUUGCAUGUAUAAAUUGUUAGCAGCUUGCUUUUUGUACGUCAAAUUUGAAUUUCUUGUUUAAUUUUGUCACCUUUGUUGUACAGUGUAGUACCUUGUACCCUGAACUGAUCUGACGUCAAAUAGUGCUGAUCUAUGAGUAACAUUACCAAAUUUUGGUCAAAUGAAUUACGCCAAAUCAGAUGAGCUAGUAGAUCGUAAAUGCCGGAUGAUUUAAAAAACGCCCAAUUGUGGUUUGAUAGUUUCAGACCAAAUUGGGUAACAGUUGACUCUUACAGUGUUUGGAUGGUGGUUUAUCAUGAUUUUAUAAUGUAUAAUAUGGUAUGGUGUGAUAUUGUAUAAUAUAGUACAAUACAAUGUUGGGAUAGACUGUAUCGUUCACUGCUGUUUAAUAACAGUUUUUUUGUAUGGUUUGAUGGUA